AAGAGGUAUUCUUUUGCGUCUCCUCAACGGUCAUACUGAAAAAAGAGUAAAAAUCGUACGUUUUGCUAUUUUUAUGAAAAUAUAUACCUAAAUCGCUUAAGUUAAUGAGAGUCACAUGUGCUUUGACUACUUUGAGUAAUAAAUUUUAAAAAAUUACGAUAUAAAGAAAUCGCCCUUACCCCACAUAACAGAAAUAAUAUUCUCUUUUGAAUAAAUACAUAUGCAUGUAUGUACAUUUAUUAAUGCAUCUGACUAAAUUUACUAA
rnacentral:sRNA from 1 species